UACGGAGGGGGCUAGCGUUGUUCGGAAUUACUGGGCGUAAAGCGCACGUAGGCGGCUUUGUAAGUCAGAGGUGAAAUCCCAGUGCUCAACACUGGAACUGCCUUUGAGACUGCAUCGCUUGAAUCCAGGAGAGGUGAGUGGAAUUCCGAGUGUAGAGGUGAAAUUCGUAGAUAUUGGGAGGAACACCAGUGGCGAAGGCGGCUCACUGGACCGGUACUGACGCUGAGGCGCGAAAGCGUGGGGAGCAAACAGG
rnacentral:rRNA from 1 species